rnacentral:lncRNA from 1 species
ACUCAAACCAGCUGUAUUAAGGAAGGUGCAAGCUUUUGGGAUUUCUGUUUGGAUUUAGUUUAGGUUCAAAAGAGCACGCACAGAUCCUGAGUGUUGUCAAGCACCCGUGACUGGGAAACGGAGGCGUCCGAUCCGUAUUGGAGUCAAUUCGCCACUUAAUUGAACACAGCCUCGAAGGGAAGGGCCAUAUUUGUGGGCCUGUCUAACAAUUAAGAGUGACCACAUGGAAUGGGGGAUGAAAGGGUUAAAGAAGAACAAAUAUUGAACACAGCUUUUCUAUGAACAAACUGCAGGCAGCUGCUGCUUUGCAAGAAAAACCCUUUGAAAAGAUUCAGCACGUUGCCAUGGAGAACAUCCCACUGAAGGAAUGUAUAGAAGUAGCAGGGAUCUGCAAUGAGAUGGGAGAAGGCAACAGGCUGUGUGGGAACCACUGAAGCUGGGAUGGCAGGGAAAGAACAUCUUAGGCUAACUCUUCAAGCCUUGCUGUCACAUUUGCUUUUGAGUCUAUGGUGUCAGCUGCCUACCAGUUGCUUUCAUCUCUAGAAAUCUGUGACUUGCAGUAUGACAAGAACAAAAGGUGACAAUACAAAGGACAAAGGGCAAGGAAUACAGACGGAGAAGCCGCUUAGAGUCUAGGAUGGCAGAGGUUCUCUUGAUCAUUUCAUUUUUGAGCGCUUGUAGAGCUUUGGUGUACCAGAGGUGCUUGAACAGCUUACCACACCACAGAUGAAUGGCCUUUGGAUUUCUCCUAAGAAAAUGUGGCUACCUGAAAUUCAACUCCAUUUUCUGGUCUUCAAUAUUUCUUUUGUGUUCAGUUUGCCAGCUGAGGAGAAGUGGCUAAGCAUAGCCUGUUACUGAUGCUAAAGCCCAAGUUCUGAACCUAACAACUCCAGCAACAUGAUCCUGUUUCAAGAGACAAAAAAGUGACUAAUGAAAGAAAACAAUUGAUGUGCUAUGUAGAGUUUAAAAGAAGGUAAAGAGAAUAAAUUAAAAGCAACAACUCUC